rnacentral:rRNA from 1 species
GACGAACGCUGGCGGCGUGCUUAACACAUGCAAGUCGAACGAAGUGGCGAACGGGUGAGUAACGCGUAAUCAACAUGCCCUUCAGAGGGGGACAACAGUGGGAAACGACUGCUAAUACCCCAUACUGAAGGAGGGGAUUGCGUCUGAUUAGCUAGUUGGAGGGGUAACGGCCCACCAAGGCGCUGAAAAGUAGCCGGUCUGGGAGAUGGAGAGGCCACAUAUGGAGAGUGAGACGGGCCAGACUCCUACGGGGGGCAGAGGUGGGGAAUAUUCCGCGAUAGACGAAAGUCUGACGGAGCAACGCGGCGUGAGUGAUGACGGCCUUCGGGUUGUAAAGCUCUGUGAAUCGGGACUCGGUAACGGAAGAGAAAGCCACGGCUAACUACGUGCCAGCAGCCGCGGUAAUUA